rnacentral:rRNA from 1 species
GACGAACGCUGGCGGCGUGCUUAACACAUGCAAGUCGAACGGAAAGGCCCUUCGGGGUACUCGAGUGGCGAACGGGUGAGUAACACGUGGGUGAUCUGCCCUGCACUUUGGGAUAAGCCUGGGAAACUGGGUCUAAUACCGAAUAUGACCACGCUCUUCAUGGGGUGUGGUGGAAAGCUUUUGCGGUGUGGGAUGGGCCCGCGGCCUAUCAGCUUGUUGGUGGGGUAAUGGCCUACCAAGGCGACGACGGGUAGCCGGCCUGAGAGGGUGACCGGCCACACUGGGACUGAGAUACGGCCCAGACUCCUACGGGAGGCAGCAGUGGGGAAUAUUGCACAAUGGGCGCAAGCCUGAUGCAGCGACGCCGCGUGAGGGAUG